GAAUUUUUCAUCCAAUUUUGAAGUAACCUAGAAAUGUUUUCCGCACUGGAAGCAUAAGAGCUGGAUCCUGUAACGGGUUGUUGAGCUGGAAUUGGAUUAGCAGAUGAAUCAGAUUUGUCAAGUGAUAAAGCCUCACAAAGGGCUUUUCUAGCCAUGUGGAUAUCUGUUUGAAGCCUCCUCUCCCACUGUCCCUUUGAGAAAUUGGAUUGUG
rnacentral:misc_RNA from 1 species